rfam:Hordeum vulgare subsp. vulgare, WGS project CAJW01000000 data, contig: morex_contig_2547734
UUUAUACUCCCUCCGUUCUAAAAUUCUUGUCUUAGAUUUAUCUAGAUAUGAAUGUAUCUAGUCAUGUUAUAUUAUUUAGAUACAUCCAUUUCUAGGCAAAUCUAAGACGACAAGAAUUUUGGGACUGAGGGAAUAUGAC